rnacentral:lncRNA from 1 species
AUGCCUUGCGCGCCGCGGGCCCAGAGACCUGAGGCUGUCGGCGUUCUGGUGGCCCCGCCUCGUGUGCCCGCCGGACCCCACGCCGCGGGAGCUUGGGGGCUGCGGUCUUCUCUUCCUCCGACCUCACCUUCGAUGCGGAAGCGCAGGGGCAGGUGCGCCGGCCUCGGCCCGCGCAGGCGGUGGGCCCGUCUGGGGCAAGGCGCCCGGAAGCGCCUGCUUGGUUCAGAAACAUCGGACCGCAGCGGGAGGGCGGGCACCGGCGCGUGGUCUCAGUGGCCCCGGGCGAACCCUGAUGAGCAGCAGCCGCAAGAGGCUUACUAAAGGAGCCAGUUUCUGCGUUUGUCUGGAAUUUACGUGAAUUAAGCUGGCGGGCGGGCUACCCAGCCUGUAGUCUCAGCACUUUGGGAGGCUGUGGCGGGCGGAUCACCUGAGCUUGGGAAUUGGAGACCAGCCUGCGCAACGUAGCAAGACCCUAUCUCUAAAAUAGAUUCAUUAAUACUUAGCCGGGCGCGGUGGCUGAGGUCCCAGCUACUCGGCAGGCCGAGGCUGGCCAGAGCCAGGCCGCUCUGAACUUUUUAUUUUUUCAGCCUUAAUACCUGCCAGAAUUCUUUUUUUACUAUGUAUCUUUGUCCUUACAUAUAUACAUUUUAUGUACAAUUGAGAUUAUCCUGUAUUUGCCUUUUCCCCCUCACUUCUAUAUGGUGACUUUUCUCAUGUGUCUGAAUACUAACAUUUUGGAAACUGUCCGCCUGAAAACGAGCGGAGGCACAGUUUCUCUAAGUAGAGAGUUUAUUUGGGCCACACUUGAGCACAAAUUCAAGGCGCCCUGAAUGUGUACUCCGAUUAGCAGUUAACAGUGGAUUUUAAAGGCAAAAAAGGGGGCCAGGGAGUGGACUAAUAGGAACUUGUUUGUGAGGAAUUCUCACUCGUUUACAGAAAUAACAUUGAUUAAUGACUGACUAUAUGUUGUUCAGCUAUUGAGUGUGGGUGUAGUGUCCAGUGUGGCGUCAUUAGGUUAAUUUAUAGCUGUUUGUGGCGCUGUUGCCAACAGUAGCAGUUUAAAGAGGUGAACACAGGUCAAGGGGUAGUAGGGCGCAGUUGUCGCCUCAUUUGAAUGUCUCUCUCUGCCUGAUAAUUAAAAGGACUCGCGGUCCUCAGAUAAAAAUUCUCUUUUCUGAAAGCCAUUUAAAUGUGGUAAUUAGAGUGGCCCAGAAGGGGCACAGUGCCUUUUAGCCCUCGCCAUUACUUGCUGUUAGGAGUGCAUUUUUUGUAGCUGCGGGUUUUUGACUAUCUCUGCUGCUUUCUCCAGCCCCUGCCCCCUGACUACAAGGGAAAACGUGCGGCGCUCACGAGAGAGCGUUUAUGGGAUUUUUAAAAAAAUGGGGAUUGUGGGAAAAUGGCACCAGCAGUCACAGUUUUUCUGUUUCUCACAAUCCCAUAAAAACAGAGCAACCAGAUAACAAAACUAAAAAAUGGGCAACAUUUACAGACCACUGGAUGGUGAAGAAUUCCCAUGAACCCCUGGUUCACACUGUAAGGACGGACUACUCAGAUGUAGCCUGAAGCCGCCUCCUUACAUACUGUAAGUUUAGCCUAUAGGUUUCUCCAUACGUAGUGAACAGUUAUCUCAUUGGAUGUGUGGAGACUGUAACCUACUCUUGAACCAGUCACAGGCGGCAGCACUUUAAACUCUGUUCCAAUAAGCCAGACGCGAGCUGUAGCCACCCUGCUGUUUGCAGGCCUCACCUCUGCCUUCUGUGCCUCACUCCCUUUUCUGUCCGUAAGUCUUCGGCCACACAGCGGCACUGGCGUCUCUCUGAGCCUGUUCUGGUUUGAGGGGCUCCCUGAUUCCUGAAUCGUUCUUUGCUCAAUUAAACUCUGUUAAAUUU